rnacentral:rRNA from 1 species
UACGUAGGGUGCAAGCGUUAAUCGGAAUUACUGGGCGUAAAGCGUGCGCAGGCGGUUAUGUAAGACAGGUGUGAAAUCCCCGGGCUUAACCUGGGAACUGCAUUUGUGACUGCAUAGCUAGAGUACGGCAGAGGGGGAUGGAAUUCCGCGUGUAGCAGUGAAAUGCGUAGAUAUGCGGAGGAACACCGAUGGCGAAGGCGGCUCUCUGGGACGGUACUGACGCUGAGACGCGAAAGCGUGGGGAGCGAACAGG